rnacentral:rRNA from 1 species
CCUACGGGUGGCAGCAGUGAGGAAUCUUGGUCAAUGGACGAGAGUCUGAACCAGCCAAGUAGCGUGAAGGAUGACUGCCCUCUGGGUUGUAAACUUCUUUUAUAAAGGAAUAAAACGAGGCACGUGUGCGUUCUUGCACGUACUUUAUGAAUAAGGAUCGGCUAACUCCGUGCCAGCAGACGCGGUAAUACGGAGGGUCCGAGCGUUUUCCUGAUUUAUUGGGUGUAAAGGGAGAGUAGAUGGGUUGUUAAGUCAGUUGUGAAAGUUUGCGGCUCAACCGUAAAAUUGCAAUUGAUACUGGCAGUCUUGAGGACAGUAGAGGUAGGCGGAAUUCGUGGUGUAGCGGUGAAAGGCUUAGAUAUCACGAAGAACUCCAGUGGCGAAGGCAGCCUACUAAACUGCCACUGACAUUGAUGCUCGAAAGUGUGGGUAUCAAACAGGAUUAGAUACCCUGGUAGUC